rnacentral:rRNA from 1 species
ACGAAGGGGGCUAGCGUUGUUCGGAAUCACUGGGCGUAAAGCGCACGUAGGCGGAUGUGUCAGUCAGGGGUGAAAUCCCGGGGCUCAACCUCGGAACUGCCUUUGAUACAGCACGUCUUGAGUCCGAUAGAGGUGGGUGGAAAUCCUAGUGUAGAGGUGAAAUUCGUAGAUAUUAGGAAGAACACCGGUGGCGAAGGCGGCCCACUGGAUCGGUACUGACGCUGAGGUGCGAAAGCGUGGGGAGCAAACAGGA